rnacentral:lncRNA from 1 species
AAGUUUAACAUUAAUAUUUUGUUGUUGAAAAACCUGUAAUAUCUGAUUUUUAUUUUCAGAUUUUAUUUUAAGCUAGUUUUUAUUUUAGCCUAAAUAACCAUACCUAAUAAAGGCUAGCAAAUGCUCUUACUGUCUUUCCAAAAAUUGUUUUCAGCUUUUUUUUGAUACACAAUUAUGACUACUAUUAAUUAUUACUAUAUAAUAAGACUUUUAACUUUAGGGUUUUAAUUAUGAUACAAACAUUCAACUGUGUGAUUUUAAUUAUGACAAUUAUAUACAAACAUUUAACUAUAUGAGAUUAAUGAGCUAUCAAGUAAAAAACUUACUUUGAUCAAACGUAGUUUGAUUAGAGGAUAAGAAUAUUAACUCUUCAAAGUUUAGGAAAUAUAAGAAUAUUAACUCUUUUAAAAAAGUUUUUACCUAUUUUUUUAAUAAUAAAAAUUUAGGUUUUCUUAUUAUUAUUAUUUUCUUUCAUUGUGUUCAUUUUUUUUUCUUAUCUUAUUAUUGUUAUAACAAGAUAAGAAAAAAAAUAAACAAGAGAGAAAUCAAUACUUGAGGGAAUGGUGCCAAAAUAGUCAAGCCUUAAAUAAUAUACUUGUAAAUAAAGAAAUCGACAACUCAUCGAAUGUCAAAUCCAAUAUUAAUGAAGUCAAGAAUUGCAUUGAUUUCAAAAAAAUUAAAAUUAAGAACUAUGGUGACUUUUUAUUUGUGUCUGAUCAUAAAGAUACUUCUAAAACAGAGAGUUCUGAUCUAGACUCUGAGGCUCCUAUGAAUAAUGUUAAUGAAGAUCUUAAUGAUGGAGUACUUGUUACAGAGAUUACCAAAUGGAUUUUAAAACACAGAAUAACUAGAAAUGCAAAUGAUGAACUGUUAUUUUUAUUUUUAUACCAGUAUGGUCAGCAUGUUGAUUUACCAAAAUGCGCAAGGACAAUUUUAAAUACUCCUAGGAAUGUUCCUAUUGAGUUAAAAUGUGGAGGUGAAUGUAUUUAUCUUGGUAUUUCAAACAGCAUAUCAAGAACUUUAGCAGUCAACUAGCUUUAUAGAUUUGAGUCAAAUACAAUUUUUUUAGUUGUCAAUGGUCUUUCCUUAUUCAAGUCAUCAAACACAACGGCCUAUAUUAUUUAUGUUUGACAAAGGUAUACCAUUUAUUGUAUUAUUAUUUGUUGGUGAUAACAAGCCAAAUAAUCGUGAUGAUUUUUAUAUGAUUUUUUGAAUGAGUAUGAGUUAUUAUUGGCAAAUCGUUUUCAAUAUAAUUCAUAUAACUUCAAUUACAUCUUGAGAAAAAUUGUUGAAAAUGUACCAAUAAAACAUCAGGAAGUGUAAGCGUAAUUACUUUCAAUAGAUUGAGUACCUUGAAGAAUUUUAUGAACUUGAAACCAGAUUAAAAGACAACCGGGAGUACUGUAAAUUGGUCAUUUAUAUUUAUAAUUUUUAUUUUUAAAGUUUGUCUGUUUGAUAGAAUGCUAUUUAAUUUCAUCAUUUUCUCGGUGAACCUAUUUAAGUUUCUCUCUCAUUUUACCAUAAUAUGGUGUAAAAGGUAAAUUAAUACUUAAAAUGUUAAAGGUAAAUUCAUACAAUACAUAAAUCCAGAAUUAUUUUAGUGACCUGAUAGCCAUUUACAUUCUCUAGAGAUUUUCAGUCUUGUAUUUUUUGGUAAAUGAUUUUGUCUUAUAUUUGGUUGAGCAGCUAUUUUGUUGCUUUUAUAGAAAACAACUGUGACAAAUAACCAAAUGAAUCCAAUCCUGUCAUAUUUGAACAUGAACUUUUCACUAGACUUUUAUUUAUGUUUUAGCUUUGUCACCUCAAGAAAGCAGGUGGAAAAAAUUUUAAAGAAAAUAUUUAAAAUGUUAUGGUCAGGUAUGUAUUUUUGUUUAACUCUGGAUAAUCAAACUGUUUAAAUUGUGAGUAAAUUUAAUAGAAAAAUCUAGCCCAAUGAAAGUAAUUUAGAAAAAUAAACAAUUUUAAAAUUAAUAUUUGACAAAAUCAAAUUUGCAUACGAGCACCUAAGUUUAAUUGGUAAAUAAACUCCUGUGGUAAGAAAUGUUAAACACAACUUUUCAACAGACCAAAUCAUUGUUCUAUCAUAGCCUAAACAUGAUGGGCCAAACAUAACAUUUAAACUGUUGCAUUAAUGAGAAUUAAUUGCAUAUUUCUGCUGGCGGAACAAACAAUUUUCAAUGUAUAAAUUAGACAGCUUUAUCAACUUUUAAAAAGUCUUUUAAGAAAACUGCCCCAUUUAUUUAGGUUCUCCCCUGCUGGUUUCAGCUUUAAUUCAAUGUCGAAGCUUUGAAUAUAAAACAUUUAUAAAAAAAAUUAUGGAGCAUCAUGUUACGGCCAAGUUGAAUAUAAAAAGAAAAAUUCGUGGUGAUAUAAAGAAGGUAUCAUUCGAAGAUAAAAAGUUGUGUAAAGCAAAAAUUGAAGUCAUCCAGCUAAUGCACGAAAGUUCGACGGAAGCAAACAAAAGAUCAAAUAGGAAGCAUUUUAAAGUUCUCUCAAUUGAAUAAUUAUUUAUUUUUAAGUUUUUUUGUAAAUUUAUAAUACAAAAGAUUAUAUAAUACAUCUUUAAUAAA